CUGGAGGAGUGUGAAUGGCUGAGGGAGCUGUAGGGACUGGACUGGACUGGACUGGCAGAAACUGGGGAGAGCGAGAAGAUGCUCUGGACUGGUUGUUGGGACUCCAUCAGGACAAGCCCCUGAGAUGGCAUUCCUGAGCCCACGGCUGUAACGUUUUUGAUUUCAGUGUUUAACAAACUGGGGAAGUAUCGGUUAUCAACACUUUGCAGAUGGGGAAGCUGAGUGUCAGAAGUUGAGUGAUUUGCAGAAGGUAAUCAAUGGCGCAGCUAGGAACAGAACCCAGAUAUCCUGGUACCGACUCUGAUGUCCUCUUCAAGGUAUCCUGCUUCCUCUGAGUCCUGGCAGCUAACCAUAUUGUGCACAAAGAUAAUUUCCAAAGAUUUCAUAAAACUACUAGCUCAUAUGGGAGCCUCUCCCAGCUGCAGUGAAUGUGUAAACCAACACAAAUGGAACCUUUGCUGUGCUUUGACUAGACGGUUGCCUCAUGCUGUUCACAGAUUGAAUAGGAGUGCAGACACUGGGAGGGUAAUCUACUGUAAUUCCAAUUAAUAUUUAUGGCUCUUUCUAUAAAUCUGUGAGGUGCUGGAAUGAGAGUUUGGCACAUCACAGGAAGAAGAAAAGCUUUUUGAAAUUCAUGGGAAGACUGGAACGACAGGAUUCUAUUUAUAUAGCAAAUACUUGGUUUUCAUACGAUUUUUGUAGACUUUUUUUUCCAUUAAAGCAAAGUGCUUAAGAAAAAUGAAUCUUUUUCCUUUCU